AGUCACUGACAUUAGAUACCCCGGUAGUCCAGGGUGUAAACGCUGCAGACUUGGCGUUGGGACCCUUCGGGGGUGUUCAGUGCCGGAGAGAAGUUGUUAAGUCUGCUACUUGGGGAGUACGUCCGCAAGGAUGAAACUUAAAGGAAUUGGCGGGGGAGCACCACAACGGGUGGAGCCUGCGGUUUAAUUGGACUCAACGCCGGAAAUCUCACCGGAUAGGACAGACAAAUGAUAGUCGGGCUGAAGACUCUACUUGAUGAUCUG
rnacentral:rRNA from 1 species